rnacentral:lncRNA from 1 species
GACAGUUGACACCUCUCCUACACAAGUAAACAUGCAGAUUAUAUUAUUGGAAGAUAAAUACAAAGGCAGUCUCUUGAUCAUUGAGCUUCAUGUCAAGGAAUCAGCAGACAGGUCAAAAUAAGCUGAACUCAUCAGUGCUUAGACCCAUGUGUGUAUUUUUAGAGAACAUGUAUCUGUGCAGUCCUAUAUAUCUACCCUCUUGAGUUCUUGAUCUCCUAAACUUUAUUGUACCUAUAGUCUAUAUAUAUUGAUAGAGAAGUAGCAUGAGGUUUAGUGUUUUCUCUUUUGUUUUGAUCUUUUUUUUGGGAGCUCUGGUUAUGGUUCAUGGCAAUGGUAGGGCAAAUGGAAGGCCACUCGAAGCUUCUCAUAGUGCUCUUAAUGUGGUUUGUCUCUCACCCUCUUGUGUAUUAAUUAUCUGAUUUGACUAGUUUUGAACUAUCGACUUCUCGGAAAGGGAGCGAGGGAGAUACUGUUGGAUCAAAUGGCCCGUAUUGUUAGGAGAGUCUUGACAUUAAUAUUAUCUUUUAGUUCUAACUUCCAAAAUUUUAGAAUAAAUUUGACUAGUUUUGAACUCUCGACUUCUCAUAAAAGGAGCGAGGAAGAUACCGCUGGAUCAAAAGGCCCGUAUUGUUAGAAGUGUGUUGACAUUAAUAUCUUUUAGUUCUAACUUCCAAAAUUUUAGAAUAAAUCAUACAAAAACUGCAGACAUGUGUGCGGAGAAAUGAUUCUUUUUUGAAUUUUUGCCGAUGUAGAGGUGCAAUACUAAGCUUGAUUUGUUUUGGAUUAGGUGAAGGCAGGGAAAGCUAAUGAGUUAUGUGGGAAAGAGAGCACUACUGAGUGCAAAGGAAAGCACAAAAGGGAUGCAAGGGAAGAGGAAGCCAGACAUGUAUUCGAGAACCAGGACUACAUUUACACUCAAUCCAUCCCUUAGCUUUAGUCAUGUAGAUUCAUCUCGAAUAAUAUAAAUCAAUAUUAGUUGCUACUUAUGAUCCCCAAGUCGAUUGAAAUCUCCCAGAUUCGUUAUCCAUCAUCAAGAGAUCGAAUUUUUUUAGAAAUGAGCUGGGUGAAAGUAUAAGUGCUUAAAUAUGUGGUACAGUAAAUUAUAGUAUAGCAGUGUUUGUCCUGGUGGCGAAACAUGCCAAUGUGUUAGGGCAUCUCCAACCAUCACUCUAAACUUUAUAUUUCUUCACUUUUAACUUUAUAAAUAGAGUAAUUUAUCUCCAAUCAUCCAUUACUCUAUUUUUAAAUAUAAAGUCAUGCACUAUCCUACUCUAUAUAUGAAGUUGAACUUGAAGAUAAAGCACAAAUUACUUUAUUUAUAAAAUGAAGUAAUGGUUGGAGAUGGAAUAAAGAUAUAAAGUGAAAAAGGUG